rnacentral:rRNA from 1 species
AGCAGCCGCGGUAAUUCCAGCUCCAAUAGCGUAUAUUAAAGUUGUUGCAGUUAAAAAGCUCGUAGUUGAAUUUCGGGAUCAAUUAAUUGGUCGUGCCUAUGGUACGUACUGAUUUUAUUGGUUUCUCCCUUCUGACGAACCAUGAUGUCAUUAAUUUGGUGUCGUGGAGAAUCAGGACUGUUACUUUGAAAAAAUUAGAGUGUUUAAAGCAAGCUAACGCUUGAAUACAUUAGCAUGGAAUAAUGAAAUAGGACGUUUGAUCCUAUUUUGUUGGUUUCUAGGAUCGACGUAAUGAUUAAUAGGGAUAGUUGGGGGCAUUAGUAUUCAAUUGUCAGAGGUGAAAUUCUUGGAUUUAUUGAAGACUAACUACUGCGAAAGCAUUUGCCAAGGAUGUUUUCAUUAAUCAAGAACGAAAGUUAGGGGAUCGAAGACGAUCAGAUACCGUCGUAGUCUUAACCAUAAACUAUGCCGACUAGGGAUCGGAUGAUGUUUUAAUUUUUAUGACUCUAGUUCGCGUACC